CAAGCUUUAUACUGAUUGCAACAGGUUUGGAGCAAUUAACCUAAUAAGUGACAACUAAUUCCAAACCGAUGAGAAAGUAAUACGUGAGUUCUCGAUAUUAUAUAAUACUACCCUUCCACAUUAUAUGCAAAAUUGAAUCACAAGGCCAACCAGCCCCCACUCUAUGCCAAGUUGUCUCCCUUUCCUAACACUUUCCCUUAGAUUUUCCAAUUUCCACUCUAAUUAAACUCUCUUGAAUUGUCUUCUUCUUCUUCCAAGAUUUGCAACAACUUAGACAAGAAUCUUUUUUGCUUCACAAGUCACAAAGACAGCACAGAUAGAUCUCCUUUGUGCUGUCCAGUUGACCAAAAAAAAAAAAAAAAAAAAAAAAAAGACAAAUUAUUAAGAUUAAAAAAUUAAUCUGAUUUCUUCAAAAAUUAGCAAGAAAAGUCUGCUAGUAUAAAAGGCACAUUCAUUGCCAUGCAGGUUCUUCAGUGGUUAUUCAAGGUAGCAAAUGAUCAAAAACAGGCUGAUCUCUCCAAUCAGGUAAGGGAACCAUCAAAAGAGGUCUUAGUUUCUUACAAGAGAAAAAGAGAUGUUAACAAGGUUCGAAAACCCGAAGAAACGUCCUUAGACUGUAAGAACUUGAGGUACAUAGGUUUGUUACUCAGGAGAGGUAACUCAAGAACAUAUUUUUCUAGGACACUUAAUCAGAAUAGAUUAAGCAGCCUUAGCCCGAGGCUAACACAGCAACAACGACGAUACAUUCUAUCAAUGAAGAUGAAGGAAGAUCUGAUUCGCGGUGUAGGGAAAAAUAAUCAGAAGGUGGAUCUAAAUUCACAUGUUGGGAAUAAGGUCUUGCCAAUUAGUGAUUCGACGAAUUCAUCAUCAACAACAACAACAAGCAGCAAUGCAGAUAAGAAGCAGCAUUGUAGACAGUCUGAUCAGAAGAAAGACAGAUCUAAUAAAGGAGAUGGUAAUAAAAAUAAGACGAUUUCGAGGAUGAAGGAGCUUCUGAGAUGGGCUGCUGCUGCUAAAUCUGAAAAAGGAGGGAAAUUCGGAAAAAAGGUGAUGCACUUCAGGAAUAAAUCAGCGACGGUAAAGUCAGGAGAUUUUGAUGAUGAAAUAACAAAUGAAUCUCCAAAGAUUAGUAUAGCAUGGGAAGUACAGAGUUGUUCCACUACUUGUUCUGCAGCUUCAGCUCCUCCUUCGAUCAAGUACGACGAAUGUGCUCGUAAGACAGGGAGUUGGAUCACAACUGAUGAUGAAUUUGUUGUGCUAGAGCUAUGAAGAGCGGACAAAAGAGGCAAAUCGAGGAUUAGCUUAAAUAAGAUCCAAGGUUAAUUAUUCAAUGCCCGUAAAAGAAACCCUAAAUAAAAGGGUUUCUAUCGUUGUCGCUCUCCCAUUCUACCUACCUCCUUCGUUAUUUUCAUUCAUCACAUUUAAAUCUUGAAGCAAUUGUAAUUUGGGGACAACAUUAUUCAACAUCUUUAAUUUUAAGAUUCAAUUGAGGUAAUUUGUUAGUUUUUUUCAAUAUUAAUCUCUCUUUUCAUUAAACUAAAACGUAACCCUAAAAAACCCUAACCCUAAUCUCCACAUGCAUUUGUCAAGUAAUUCUAUUCUUCUCCCUCGUAAUGCUUCUUCAUUGUUAUGAAUUGUUGAUGUUAUUUCAAUUUUUGCAAUUUCUGAUUUUUUUUAUUAGUUUAUAUAAAAUCUUGGUGAAAGUGCUCCAUACCACGAUACUACUGUGUGAUUUGCUACUUUAUUACUUGUUAUUAGUCAAUUCUUAUAAUUUUUUGUUUUUUUUUAUUGAUUUUUAGUCAAUUAGAGUAUAGAUAAAUGCAUAUGAGGCUUUUAUAAUUUCGAAUCAAUUUCUUAAUUGACAGUAUAAUGUCACUCUUCAUCUAAUUCUGUUCACCAUUGCAUUGUACUAGGACGUUUAAUUAAUGGACUUAGUUUGUAAUAAAAAAAACUUGCAAUUUUUCAAUAAUAAUAUAAAUACCAAUAUUAGUAUUAUACUAAUUUGUGUUUUAUUUCUUUUUGGAUUCAAUCCCACCCCCCUGAUCUAUUAGUAUUUUUUUUAUUAGUUUAUAUAAAAUCUUGGUAAAAACAUUCUUUAAUUUCCGUGAGCAUUUAGACGUGAAUUACAAUUUUCAAAUUCGAUCAACUAUUUUACUUAAAUUCUUGACUUUGUCAUUGUUGGGUAGAGUUCUCAUUCCGUACCUCUUUAAUAUUUUUGUUUAAUUUUCAGAUUUUGCAAAUUACCUAUUAUAUGGUCUGAGUUUAUUGUUUCUUUGUCAAAGAAACUAAUCGAUGGAUUUGAAUUUGACUCCUUCAAAACAACAUGCUCACAAUUGUACAGAGAAUAUUUGCAUCAAGAACUGAUUGUGGCAUGUACAUCUUAAAGUAUGUUGCAGCUGAAAAUAAAUCAGAUUGGUCAAAAAUAUUCUAUACGACGGCAUUCAUGGGAAUUGAACGACUUAAGUAUUUGGCAAAACUCAUCACUAGCGAAUUUAAUGAAGCUACACUAUUUAAGCGUGCUAUUUUGGGAGAUGCAUCCAUUGAUCUCAAGCAGCUAUCUUGAUUUUUUUUUUUUUUUUUUGAAUGGAGCAGCUAUCUUGAUUUAUCUCAUGUAUUAUUGACUUAUUGUUGAAUGGUGUUAUUCUAUAAUUGCCACUUUUUUAUUUUACAUUAAUAAUAUAACUGAGGUUAUAGUGGAAUAAGUAAUACGAGUAGGAGGUAAUAUGAGAGAUAUUAAAGAAAUCAAACAAUAAGCUAUCCAAUCUAAUAUCAUCAAAUAGGAGGUGAAUAGGAGUAGCACCAUUGUUCAAGCACGUAAUUGCUUUCACCACUUUUGUAAAAUCACUUUCCACCCACACAUUUGUAUAUCUAAGUCUUCUGGCAAUCUGCAUACCAUUUUUCAUGCCUAUGACCCUCCAUACGACACACUAACUUCUUUGAUAUUACAUGCCCAUCUUUUCUACUCUUAGUUGUUGCAUCCUUUCGUACUCCGAAACCUUUGACUUUUGCAUAUGUAUAAUAAAAUUCAAUACAAUCUUCUAACGACUUCCACCUGAGCAUAUCCAUAUCAUCUUCAUCAUAGUCUUCUAAGUUUUUUCCAAUUUUGUCCCAUGUUUGCUCAUUAAUAAAGUGAUCAAUUGUCUUUUCUUCAUGUAC